CUUGUUCCUUCGUCUGACCGGUCUGGGAGGACUCUGUGGUGGCCUCUGUGGCUGCAUCGCCGUCCAGUGUCACCACCUCUUCCCCGUUCAGUGCCACGCCCUCGUCUUCCCCUGGUCCAACCGGGCCCGUCUCCCCAGGCCCCGGCCCCUCCUUCUCCGUUUUCUUCUCCCCCCACCACACCGGCCAAGCCUCCGUUCACCUCUAAACCUCCUGCCUCUACUUCUUGCUCGUCUGCCUCAUUCUCAGUCGCCCCCUCCUGUUCCUGCUCUCCAACCCUCUCGCUGUCCUCCCCCCCGUCGCCACCAGGGGGCAGUUGGACCCCGACUGCUCCGUGCACGUGACUACUCUCUUCCUUCGCUUCAACAUCUCCUCCAGGAUGUCUGUGGGCUCCACCACCAGCACCACGGGGGGGGUGUCCUCAGACGCCGCGGGGGGUGUAGCCACCGCCGUCUCGUCCAGCUCCUCAACCCCCGCUUCGGUGGCCUCUUCCGACUCGGAGCCGGUUGCUCCGUCAGCCCCCACCGCGUCCGUCUCCGCCCCGGCGGUCUCAGCGUCCGAUCCCCCGGUCUCUGCCUCCUGCUGCUCCUCUCCAUCCAGACCUCCCGCCGCGGCCCCCAGGCCUCCAUCCAGCCCCGCCCCCUCCCCCUCAGACGCCUGCUCCACCGUUCCCCCAACUCCUCCGUCCGCCGCCGCCUCCGCCUCGCCCUCCC
ensembl:lncRNA